GAGUGAGCGGCAAAAGCUCAAAUUUGAAAUCUGGCACUUUCAGUGUCCGAGUUGUAAUUUGAAGAAGGUAUCUUUGGGUCUGGCUCUUGUCUAUGUUUCUUGGAACAGAACGUCACAGAGGGUGAGAAUCCCGUGCGAUGAGAUGUCCCAGACCUAUGUAAAGUUCCUUCGAAGAGUCGAGUUGUUUGGGAAUGCAGCUCUAAGUGGGUGGUAAAUUCCAUCUAAAGCUAAAUAUUGGCGAGAGACCGAUAGCGAACAAGUACAGUGAUGGAAAGAUGAAAAGAACUUUGAAAAGAGAGUGAAAAAGUACGUGAAAUUGUUGAAAGGGAAGGGCUUGAGAUCAKACUUGGUAUUUUGUAUGUUACUCUCUCGGGGGUGGCCUCUACAGUUUACCGGGCCAGCAUCAGUUUGAGCGGUAGGAUAAGUGCAAAGAAAUGUGGCACUGCUUCGGUAGUGUGUUAUAGUCUUUGUCGAUACUGCCAGCUUAGACUGAGGACUGCGGCUUCGGCCUAGGAUGUUGGCAUAAUGAUCUUAAGUCGCCCGUCUUG
rnacentral:rRNA from 1 species